rnacentral:rRNA from 1 species
UUAAAUGAAUUGACGGGGCCCGCACAAGCAGCGGAGCGUGUGGUUUAAUUCGAUGUUACGCGAAAACCUUACCCGGGCUUGACAUGCAGGUAGUAGGGAACCGAGAGGGACCGACUCUUCGGAGAGCCUGCACAGGUGCUGCAUGGCUGUCGUCAGCUCGUGCCGUGAGGUGUCCGGUUAAGUCCGGUAACGAGCGCAACCCUCGCCAUAUGUUACAAGUGUCAUAUGGGACUGCCGAUAUAAAGUCGGAGGAAGGUGGGGAUGACGUCAAGUCAGCAUGGCCUUUAUGUCCGGGGCUACACACACGCUACAAUGGCCGGUACAAUAGGUAGCAAGACCGCGAGGUGGAGCCAAUCCUUAAAGCCGGUCUCAGUUCAGAUUGCAGGCUGCAACCCGCCUGCAUGAAGUCGGAGUUGCUAGUAACCGCGCGUCAGCAAUAGUGCGGUGAAUACGUUCCCGGGCCUU